GGGGGUGAAAGGGUUCGACUUAAGUAAUUCGGGUAAAAGCAGCAUGCCGCGGAUGCAGGGUAGGCCGCGUUAACAAUCCUUGCACAAUAUAAACGCAAACAUACCAAUGUUUAACCGCAUGCCAAUGGCAACAUUGGCGCCAGCGGGCGUACCAGUCCCACUCUUUAAUUAAGAAUGGGCCUCUCUUUAGUGUGCCUGUGAUCUAAAAGAGAGCCGUUAACAGGCUGGCCUUGAUUUGUUUGCCUUUGGAGUCAGGGCGAGAUUAUAAAAGGCUGCGCCUUGAUGUAUCUUGUUUAUUGGAGACAUCAAGGUUAAGCUAAAAAAUAAACUAAGCAUGUAGCGGCUUUUAUUCAGUUGCUUAGGGACGCGGGUUCAACUCCCGCCACCUCCACCA
rnacentral:tmRNA from 1 species